rnacentral:misc_RNA from 1 species
UUAAGUUCAGCGGGUAGUCUUGCCUGAUUUGAGAUCAUUGUAAAGGGGACUGGAUUGGUCGAUCAAUGGAACAGCUCCUUGUCACGAACAACCCGUGCAUGAAUUCAAGACGAUCAGUGAUGAAGGUCCAUGUGUCUUGACCAACAGGGAUCAGCAAGUGAAUGUGAUCGAGUGUGGACCAAACGGGGUAAAAUGAUUCU